rnacentral:rRNA from 1 species
AGUGAACGCUGGCGGUAGGCCUAACACAUGCAAGUCGAACGGCAGCACAGUAAGAGCUUGCUCUUACGGGUGGCGAGUGGCGGACGGGUGAGGAAUACAUCGGAAUCUACUUUUUCGUGGGGGAUAACGUAGGGAAACUUACGCUAAUACCGCAUACGACCUACGGGUGAAAGCAGGGGAUCUUCGGACCUUGCGCGAUUGAAUGAGCCGAUGUCGGAUUAGCUAGUUGGCGGGGUAAAGGCCCACCAAGGCGACGAUCCGUAGCUGGUCUGAGAGGAUGAUCAGCCACACUGGAACUGAGACACGGUCCCGACUCCUACGGGAGGCAGCAGUGGGGAAUAUUGGACAAUGGGCGCAAGCCUGAUCCAGCCAUACCGCGUGGGCGAAGAAGGCCUUCGGGUUGUAAAGCCCUUUUGUUGGGAAAGAAAAGCAGCAGGUUAAUACCCCGCUGUUCUGACGGUACCCAAAGAAUAAGCACCGGCUAACUUCGUG